UACGGGGGGGGCAAGCGUUGUUCGGAUUUACUGGGCGUAAAGGGCGCGUAGGCGGCGCAACAAGUCACUUGUGAAAUCUCCGGGCUUAACCCGGAGCGGCCAAGUGAUACUGUCGUGCUAGAGUGCGGAAGGGGCUACUGGAAUUCUCGGUGUAGCGGUGAAAUGCGUAGAUAUCGAGAGGAACACCUGCGGCGAAGGCGGGUAGCUGGGCUGACACUGACGCUGAGGCGCGAAAGCCAGGGGAGCGAACGGG
rnacentral:rRNA from 1 species